AUUGAACGCUGGCGGCAGGCCUAACACAUGCAAGUCGAGCGAGCGGCGGACGGGUGAGUAAUGUAUGGGGAACUGCCCGAUAGAGGGGGAUAACUACUGGAAACGGUGGCUAAUACCGCAUACUAUCGGAUGAACCCAUAUGGGAUUAGCUAGUAGGUGGGGUAAAGGCUCACCUAGGCGACGAUCGCUAGCUGGUCUGAGAGGAUGAUCAGCCACACUGGGACUGAGACACGGCCCAGACUCCUACGGGAGGCAGCGGUGGGGAAUAUUGCACAAUGGGCGCAAGCCUGAUGCAGCCAUGCCGCGUGUAUGAAGAAGGCCUUCGGGUUGUAAAGUACUUUCAGCGGGGAGGCGUUACCCGCAGAAGAAGCACCGGCUAACUCCGUGCCAGCAGCCGCGGUAAUUC
rnacentral:rRNA from 1 species